CAUCUCUUCGCACUCACUCAGAGUAGAUCUCAUAGUCGGACUAAAGAGAAGAGUACCAUCUACGUAGAUAUAACCCGUACCUACGGAGCAAUCAGCAGCAGUUUCUGGUUAACUACCAAGCAGAGUGCAUGUAAAGUGAAAGUUGAAACAAGUGAAAAAACAAACUCUGACCAGAAAUAUAGAUCUGUGGUGAACUAUGGGCUAAGGCUAUAUGGCCAAUCUGAUCACCAAAAGCGAUAGGAUGGUGGUACCAUUGUAAGAUGAUUAAUUACUAGAGAUCGGCCUUCUUUUCUUCCCACAAGCACCAUUUGGGAAUGGCGGUUGCAGUAGUGCGCCCACAGCUAAUGGCUUACCAAGCAGUGGAGAGG